UACGUAGGGUGCGAGCGUUAAUCGGAAUUACUGGGCGUAAAGCGUGCGUAGGCGGUUCGUUAUGUCUGCUGUGAAAGCCCCGGGCUUAACCUGGGAAUGGCAGUGGAAACUGGCGGGCUUGAGUGUGGCAGAGGGGGGUGGAAUUCCGCGUGUAGCAGUGAAAUGCGCAGAUAUCAGGAGGAACACCGACGGCGAAGGCAGCCUUCUGGAAAGUACCUGACGCUGAGGGGCGAAAGCUAGGGGAGCGAACGGG
rnacentral:rRNA from 1 species